rnacentral:rRNA from 1 species
AUCGAACGCUGGCGGCGUGCUUAACACAUGCAAGUCGAACGGCAGCGCGGGCUUUUUCCUGGCGGCGCGUGGGGCACGGGGGUGUAUUGCACGGGAACGUGCUCAGUUUGGGGGGAUAGUCCGGUGAAAGCCCGAUUAAUACCGCAUACUACCUGAGGGUGAAAGCGGGGGACGGAAAGGCCGCUUCCUAUUGUAGCGGCCGAUGUGGGAUUAGCUAGUUGGUGGGGUAAAGACUUACUAAGGCGACGAUCGGUAGAUGGUCUGAGAGGACGACUAGCCACCCUGGGACUGAGACACGGCCCCGACUCCUACGGGAGGCAGCAGUGGGGAAUUUUGGACAAUGGGGGGAACCCUGAUCCAGCCAUGCCGCGUGUGGGAAGGAGGCCUUCGGUUUGUAAACCGCUUUUGUUCGGGAAGAAAUGCUUUGGGCUAAUACCCCGCGGGGAUGACGGUACCGGGAAAAUAAGCACCGGCUAACUACGUG